AGAGUUUGAUCCUGGCUCAGGAUGAACGCUGGCGGCGUGCUUAACACAUGCAAGUCGAGAGGGUUAGACCCUCGGCAGACGGGUGAGUAAUAACGAGGAAUUUGCCUUUAAGUGGGAGAUACUCCCGAGAAAUCGGGCAUAAUACCCCAUAAUACCGCAAGGUUAAAGAUUUAUCGCUUAAAGAGAAGCCUCGUUCCUAUCAGCUUGUUGGUGAGGUAAUGGCUCACCAAGGCUAUGACGGGUAGCUGGUCUAAGAGGAUGAUCAGCCACAAGGGAACUGAGACACGGUCCCUACUCCUACGGGAGGCAGCAGUUGGGAAUAUUGGACAAUGGGGGAAACCCUGAUCCAGCGACGCCGCGUGAUCGAAGACGCCUUUCGGGGUGUAAAGAUCUUUUUUCAGGGAGGAUUAUGACAGUACCUGAAGAAUAAGCAUCGGCUAACUACGUGCCAGCAGCCGCGGUAAUACGUAGGAUGCAAGCGUUAUCCGGAAUUAUUGGGCGUAAAGGGCUUGUAGGUGGUUUGCUAAGUUUCUGAUUAAAUCUUGAGGCUUAACCUCAAAACUGUUAGAAAUACUGGCAGACUAGAGAAUAACUGGGGUAAACGGAAUUCCCGGUGUAGCAGUGAAAUGCGUUGAUAUCGGGAAGAACACCAAUGGCGAAGGCAGUUUACUAGGUUAUUUCUGACACUGAGGAGCGAAAGCGUGGGGAGCGAAAAGGAUUAGAUACCCUUGUAGUCCACGCUGUAAACGAUGGACACUAGCUAUUGGAAGUAUCGACCCUUCUUGUAGCGUAGCUAACGCGUUAAGUGUCCCGCCUGGGUAGUACGGCCGCAAGGCUAAAACUCAAAGGAAUUGACGGGGGCUUGCACAAGCGGUGGAGCAUGUGGUUUAAUUCGACGAUAAGCGAAGAACCUUACCAGGGCUUGACUUCUGGCGAACCUCUAAGAAAUUAGGGGGUGCCCGCAAGGGAACGCCAUGACAGGUGCUGCACGGUUGUCGUCAGCUCGUGUCGUGAGAUGUCCGGUUAAGUCCGUCAACGAGCGAAACCCCUAUCCUGUGUUGUAUUUCUCACAGGAAACUGCCUCGUUUAACGGGGAGGAAGGUGGGGACGACGUCAAAUCAGCGUGGCUCUUACGCCCUGGGCGACACACGUGCUACAAUGGCGAGUUCAAAGGGUUGCCAAACCGUAAGGUGGAGCUAAUCCCACAAAACUCGUCUCAGUUCGGAUUGAAGGCUGCAACUCGCCUUCAUGAAGCUGGAAUCGCUAGUAAUCGUGGAUCAGCCAUGCCACGGUGAAUACGUUCUCAAGCCUUGUACACACCGCCCGUCAAGUGAGCCGAGUCAAUAAUGCCUGAAAUUCCUCAC
rnacentral:rRNA from 1 species